GAUGAACGCUGGCGGCGUGCCUAAUACAUGCAAGUCGAGCGAACGGACGAGAAGCUUGCUUCUCUGAUGUUAGCGGCGGACGGGUGAGUAACACGUGGAUAACCUACCUAUAAGACUGGGAUAACUUCGGGAAACCGGAGCUAAUACCGGAUGAUAUUUUGAACCGCAUGGUUCAAAAGUGAAAGACGGUCUUGCUGUCACUUAUAGAUGGAUCCGCGCUGCAUUAGCUAGUUGGUAAGGUAACGGCUUACCAAGGCAACGAUGCAUAGCCGACCUGAGAGGGUGGCGGCCCACACUGGCACGGAGCCAGGGCCAACACCCCGGGGGGGGGAACGGGGGGGUAUCUUUCCAGAGGGGGCGAAGCCCGAACGGCGCACCGCCGGGGGAGGACUAAAGGUUUGGGAAUCGGAAACUUGUGUUAUGGGGAAAAAACAUAUGUGAAAGAACGUGUGCCCUUCUGGCCGGUCCUAAAUCAGAAACCCCCGCCUACCUCCGUC
rnacentral:rRNA from 1 species